rnacentral:lncRNA from 1 species
GAAAAGGAAGUUAAAGAAUCUAAGUAGUCAAAUCAUCCCUGUUUGCAGAUGAGAGCGUGUUACACAGAAGAGAUUCAAAAAUUCCAAAGAAAACCCUCUGGAGGCAUUCAACAUUUUUGGCAAAGUAACAGGAUACAAUAACCUUUUUGUACACCACCAACAAUCAUGCUGAGUAAAACAAGUAGCCGUAAAGUAAAUAAAAUGUCUAGGAGUAAACUUAGCCAAGGAUGUGAUGGACUUAUACAGUGAAAACUUGAAAUACCCAAAGUGGGAAAUUUAGGAAGACUCUAAAAUAUGGAACAACUUCAAGUGCUCAUGGAUUGGCAAAAUUAACUUGUCAAAAUGAUUAUUCUAACAAAAGCAUUUUAUAGAUUAAAUGAAAUAUUGAACAGAAUCUCUCAGAAUAUUCAUUUCAGAAAUAGAAAAUAAAAUUUUAAAAUUAAUAUGGUAACAAAAAAGACCCAGGCAGCAACAGCAAUCUGAGCAAUAAAGAACAGUGCUUGAAGGAUCACCAUUGCAGAUUCACAGAGCUAGUAAUGCUGCAGUAAUGCAAACAGUGUGGUUCUCACCCAGACAGAUGUGCACAGAGCCAACAUGAGUAUAUAUUACAGCAAAGAGGAAGGCAGCGUCUUCAACAACUGCUGCUACCAAGACUGGUUGCAUGUGUGUAGGAUGAAAUUAGACCCAUCUCUAUCACCAUGCAAAAAAUUAACCCCAAAUGGAUCAGUGUGCUCAAUAUGAUACAUUGAAAUUGCUUGAAUAAAACAUAGAUAAUAUCCUAUAAGAAACAGUUGUGGGAAAGGACUUUCUAAAUAGGACUCUGUUAUCCAAGAAUUUGUGUCAUAAAACUAAAAAUCUGCUGAACAGCUAAGGAAGAGUAAGCUCACCAAGUGAGAAAGUUAUAACACUUGACAGAAAAUUAACAUCCAGAAUAUGUAAAAACUCAAAACAACAGAGUCAAGAAGCCAAGUGACCCAAUUCAGAGGUAGGCUAUGGGUUUAGUGGAGCGUUUUC